AUCCAACUGUCCCUACAUCCUUAUUCUCUUCCUCACAUUGUCAUCAUCUCUAUCCCCAUCCAAAAAGAAAGUUCAUUUCUCUCCUUCCAUUUCUUUGACUCAUUAAAAGUGGUUAACUACUGCCUUGAGUUAAGCCAUCUCUAAAUAAGUUCGGGUUAGAGGACAACAGGCAGGCGUCAGUGAAUGGGGCGCUGAUGUAGAUGGGUUAUGGAGACAAUAAGUGGGGUACCUGGGUGAAGGAAGUAGGAGCACGACUUGAGGGAGAAGGGGGGCAGGGCUAGGACAUGGUGUACACUAAUUUUCAAUGUAGGGCUCCUUGAAAUUAACCCUAUCAUUUCUAUUCUGAGAAAAAACAAUUCCUUGGUUUGGGGCAAACAUUUCUCUAAGCUGUAGACCCCAGUCAUGAUAAUGAUUCUGCUAAAAUUACAAUAUUUGAGCAUCAGUUUUGCAACAGGCACAGUAAUAGAUGCUUUGUGGAUUUUAUCUCAUUUAAUCACUAUUACCAUCCUUUGAGUGCCGCUAGUUCUGUUCUUUACAGGAGGAAACCGAUGCUCAGGAGUCUGAGUCGAAGUCAGAGCAAGAAUCCAAGCCCAGACCCUUCCCCCCAAGCUGGUACAUGCCCGCUGUGCUGCCAGUUAAUCAGUAGUGAAGCAGUCAGAGUUUUUACAAAGUGCUGCAAAAUCAUGUCUGCAUAGUCAGUCUGCCUGCAGGAACCCAGUGCAUAUGUUGAAUGGAUGGCUACACAGAUACAUGCAUGAAUGGAAAACAGGUGGCCUUUUUGAAGGUGUGACUGUUGAAGCUGAGGCAUUCCUCUCCUGGGCAGACAGCUCUGCAGCACGGAGCACAGCACAGGCCAGCAGUGGGCCCUGUGGGCAACAACUAGAGGCAAGAGCCGGAGCUGCAGAAUGGGAUGGUUGAAUUCAAGUUUUGAGUUUUCCUGUUUGCAUAUUUUUCCCUAAGAGUUAACUUAAAAUAUUUGAAGAACCACAUCUGGGAAGAAAGUUGUGUAGUAGCAGGCCAAGAUAAGUAUAGAAGUUAGAUAACGUAGUUACAGUUAAUAUAGUUAAGAAGUUAGUUGCUAAGUCUGUUUCCCACAGAGAGAAAUAUUCACAUUUGUGCUGUGUCAGCACCACCGGGAAGGAUAUUAGCUGGUGGAGACCCAUCUGUCCUAUGUGGAAUGCAGUGAGGGACUUACCUGAUGAAACUAAAUGCUCACUGCUGAUAGUCCAAGGAAAUAAACAUACAAAUAACUUCUCAGGUUCAUUUAAAACAAAUUUAAAAAAAAGAAGUACAGACUUUUGUAUUCCUUAUUCAAAAAUGCUCAAUAAGUGUUUGUUAAAUGAGUGAUUAUCAAAUUAAAAGUUUUUGCAUCUAU